UGGGGAAUUUUGGACAAUGGGCGAAAGCCUGAUCCAGCAAUGCCGCGUGUGUGAAGAAGGCCUUCGGGUUGUAAAGCACUUUUGUCCGGAAAGAAAUCCUUGGCUCUAAUACAGUCGGGGGAUGACGGUACCGGAAGAAUAAGCACCGGCUAACUACGUGCCAGCAGCCGCGGUAAUACGUAGGGUGCAAGCGUUAAUCGGAAUUACUGGGCGUAAAGCGUGCGCAGGCGGUUUGCUAAGACCGAUGUGAAAUCCCCGGGCUCAACCUGGGAACUGCAUUGGUGACUGGCAGGCUAGAGUAUGGCUGAGGGGGGUAGAAUUCCACGUGUAGCAGUGAAAUGCGUAGAGAUGUGGAGGAAUACCGAUGGCGAAGGCAGCCCCCUGGGCCAAUACUGACGCUCAUGCACGAAAGCGUGGGGAGCAAACAGGAUUAGAUACCCUGGUAGUCCACGCCCUAAACGAUGUCAACUAGUUGUUGGGGAUUCAUUUCCUUAGUAACGUAGCUAACGCGUGAAGUUGACCGCCUGGGGAGUACGGUCGCAAGAUUAAAACUUAAAGGAAUUGACGGGG
rnacentral:rRNA from 1 species